rnacentral:rRNA from 1 species
CCUACGGGGGGCAGCAGUGAGGAAUAUUGGUCAAUGGUCGAGAGUCUGAACCAGCCAAGUAGCGUGCAGGAUGACUGCCCUAUGGGUUGUAAACUUCUUUUAUAUGGGAAUAAAAUGUUCCACGUGUGGGAUUUUGUAUGUACCAUAUGAAUAAGGAUCGGCUAAUUCCGUGCCAGCAGCCGCGGUAAUACGGAGGAUCCGAGCGUUAUCCGGAUUUAUUGGGUUUAAAGGGAGCGUAGGUGGAUUGUUAAGCAAGUUGUGAAAGUGUGCGGCUCAACCGUAAAAUUGCGGGGGCAACUGGCAGGCUUGAGUACAGGGAAGGUGGGCGGAAUUCGUGGUGUAGCGGUGAAAUGCUUAGAUAUCACGAAGAACUCCGAUUGCGAAGGCAGCUCACUGGACUGCAACUGACACUGAGGCUCGAAAGUGUGGGUAUCAAACAGGAUUAGAUACCCGAGUAGUC